AGAGUUUGAUCCUGGCUCAGGACGAACGCUGGCGGCGUGCUUAACACAUGCAAGUCGUACGAGGGCUCCGGUGCUUGCACUGGAUGACCCGAGUGGCGAACGGGUGAGUAACACGUGACCAACCUGUCCUAGGGUGAGGGACAACCCGGGGAAACCUGGGCUAAUACCGCAUGAUGUCACACAAACGCAUGUGCGUGUGAUCAAAGAGGGCCUCUGUUUACAAGCUCUCGCCCAAGGAGGGGGUCGCGGCGUAUCAGUUUGUUGGUGGGGUAAUGGCCUACCAAGACUACGACGCGUAGCGGAUCUGAGAGGAUGAUCCGUCACAUUGGGACUGAGAUACGGCCCAGACUCCUACGGGAGGCAGCAGUGGGGAAUAUUGCGCAAUGGGCGAAAGCCUGACGCAGCGACGCCGCGUGUGGGAGGAAGCCUUUCGGGGUGUAAACCACUGUCAGAGGGGAAGAACAGCGAGAGUUCGAACAGGACUAGCGUUUGACGGUACCCUCAGAGGAAGCGCCGGCUAACUCCGUGCCAGCAGCCGCGGUAAUACGGAGGGUGCAAGCGUUGUCCGGAAUCAUUGGGUGUAAAGGGUGCGUAGGCUGGCAUCUAAGUCUGGGGUGAAAUCUUGCCGCUCAACGGUA
rnacentral:rRNA from 1 species